CCUACGGGUGGCAGCAGUGGGGGAUAUUGCACAAUGGGCGGAACCCUGAUGCAGCGACGCCGCGUGGGUGAAGGAGCGUUUCGGCGCGUAAAGCCCUAUCGGCAGGGAAGAAGAAGGACGGUACCUGACUAAGAAGCCCCGGCUAACUACGUGCCAGCAGCCACGGUACUACGUAGGGGGCAAGCGUUAUCCGGAUUUACUGGGUAUAAAGGGGGCGCAGACGGCAGCGCAAGCCAGGAGUGAAAGCCCGGGGCCCAACCCCGGGACUGCUGUUGGAACCGCGCGGCGGGAGUGCAGGAGGGGCAGGCGGAAUGCCUGGUGUAGCGGUGAAAUGCGUAGAUAUCAGGAGGAACACCGGUGGCGAAGGCGGCCUGCUGGACUGCGACUGACGUUGAGGCCCGAAAGCGUGGGGAGCAAACAGGAUUAGAUACCCUUGUAGUC
rnacentral:rRNA from 1 species